AGAGUUUGAUCCUGGCUCAGGACGAACGCUGGCGGCGCGCCUAACACAUGCAAGUCGAACGAGCGAGAGAGAGCUUGCUUUCUCAAGCGAGUGGCGAACGGGUGAGUAACGCGUGAGGAACCUGCCUCAAAGAGGGGGACAACAGUUGGAAACGACUGCUAAUACCGCAUAAGCCCACGGCUCGGCAUCGAGCAGAGGGAAAAGGAGCAAUCCGCUUUGAGAUGGCCUCGCGUCCGAUUAGCUAGUUGGUGAGGUAACGGCCCACCAAGGCGACGAUCGGUAGCCGGACUGAGAGGUUGAACGGCCACAUUGGGACUGAGACACGGCCCAGACUCCUACGGGAGGCAGCAGUGGGGAAUAUUGCACAAUGGGGGAAACCCUGAUGCAGCGACGCCGCGUGGAGGAAGAAGGUCUUCGGAUUGUAAACUCCUGUUGUUGGGGAAGAUAAUGACGGUACCCAACAAGGAAGUGACGGCUAACUACGUGCCAGCAGCCGCGGUAAAACGUAGGUCACAAGCGUUGUCCGGAAUUACUGGGUGUAAAGGGAGCGCAGGCGGGAAGACAAGUUGGAAGUGAAAUCUAUGGGCUCAACCCAUAAACUGCUUUCAAAACUGUUUUUCUUGAGUAGUGCAGAGGUAGGCGGAAUUCCCGGUGUAGCGGUGGAAUGCGUAGAUAUCGGGAGGAACACCAGUGGCGAAGGCGGCCUACUGGGCACCAACUGACGCUGAGGCUCGAAAGUGUGGGUAGCAAACAGGAUUAGAUACCCUGGUAGUCCACACCGUAAACGAUGAUUACUAGGUGUUGGAGGAUUGACCCCUUCAGUGCCGCAGUUAACACAAUAAGUAAUCCACCUGGGGAGUACGACCGCAAGGUUGAAACUCAAAGGAAUUGACGGGGGCCCGCACAAGCAGUGGAGUAUGUGGUUUAAUUCGACGCAACGCGAAGAACCUUACCAAGUCUUGACAUCCCUUGACAGGCAUAGAAAUAUGUAUUCUCUUCGGAGCAA
rnacentral:rRNA from 1 species